UACGUAGGAGGCGAGCGUUAUCCGGAUUCACUGGGCGUAAAGGGAGCGCAGGCGGCACGGCAAGUCCGGUGUGAAAGCCCGGGGCCCAACCCCGGGACUGCACUGGAAACUGCCGGGCUGGAGUGUCGGAGGGGCAGGCGGAAUUCCUAGUGUAGCGGUGAAAUGCGUAGAUAUUAGGAGGAACACCGGUGGCGAAGGCGGCCUGCUGGACGACGACUGACGCUGAGGCUCGAAAGCGUGGGGAGCAAACAGG
rnacentral:rRNA from 1 species